UGCCAAGAAGCCCAAAACAAGCCUUCAGAACAAACGACCCGCUCUGGUUAUUCGUCAAAUCUUCGUUUAGAAUGGGAAGGCCAGCAUCCACGAUCGAAGUCCCCGAGAGACGACAUCGUUCCAACGGCCGGUACACACCGGACUCCGACUACAUCCGUCACCGGCGCAGCCCCAGCUAUGACGUCUACGACCGCCACGAUAACCACCAGCGCCGCCGGCUCCGCUCUCCCGACAGAAGCCCAAGCCCAAACCCUAGACGAAGCCCUAGGCCCAACAAAGCCUUGGACGACGCGUUGCCCAAGCGAUUCGGCCGGCCUUACCUCGACCGCGACCACCGGAACGGGACCCGCUCGGACUCGGAGUCCGACGAGGAACUAAAGGGCCUGACCUAUGAAGAGUACCGGAGGCUCAAAAGGCAGAAGAUGCGGAAGGCACUGAAGCAUUGUAUUUGGAACGUGACGCCGAGCCCGCCGAGGGACGAAAACGAUGAGUUGGAGGAGACGGAGGAGGAGAAAGCCGAGGAGAUCUCGGACAAGUACGGUGGAGAUAGCGGGGGCAAGAGCGAUUCGAGUUUCAAAGAGAAAGAGAAAGAAAAAGAGAGUAAUCGGAAAAGGAAAUCCGACUCCGAGUCUGAAGAAUCGGAGACCGAGUCUGAAUCCGAUGAUUCCCGGUCGAGAAGGAAGAGGAAAAGUUCGAUUUCUAAGCGUAGAAAUAGAAAAUACGAAUCGGUCGAGAGCGAGAGCGAGACUGAAUCUGAGGAAGAUCGAAAGCAUAGAAAGAAAUCAAGGAAAAGGAGUAAUCGCAGUAGUAGGAGGAGCAAGAGAAGUAGUAGUAGUAAAAGAAGAAGAAGAAAAAGGAGUAGGCAUAGCAGCGAUCCAGACGAGAUCGAGGAGAAUUCUGAUGCGAGUGAUCGAGUCAGGUCGAAGAAAAAGCGGUCUUUGAGCGCGAAUUCUGAUUCUGAGGUUGAAGAAAUGAGUAAGGCGAAGGCAGAGGAGGCAAAAAUGAUUGCCGAAAUCGAUGUAGAGGCAUUGCGGUUUAAGGAAAUGAUUGAGGCGCAGAAGAAGCCACCGCCGGCUUUGGAUAACGAACAGGUGGUUGGGCCAAUGCCGCUGCCAAGAGCCGAAGGGCAUAUUAGCUACGGUGGGGCGCUUAGGCCCGGAGAAGGUGAUGCCAUUGCGCAGUAUGUGCAGCAAGGGAAGCGUAUCCCAAGAAGAGGUGAGGUCGGUCUGUCUGCGGACGAGAUUCAGAAGUUUGAGACUCUGGGGUAUGUGAUGAGUGGUAGUAGGCACCAGAGGAUGAAUGCCAUUCGUAUUAGGAAGGAAAACCAGGUUUAUAGUGCCGAGGAUAAGAGGGCAUUGGCGAUGUUUAAUUACGAAGAGAAGGCGAAGCGCGAGCACAAGGUUAUGGCUGAUUUGCAGCGGUUAGUGCAGCGUCAUAUAGGGCAGGAUGUCGGUCCUACUCAUGAUCCCUUUGGUGCAAAGGCCUCAUCAGAUGUUGCUGAUGCUUGAUUUUACGUAUUUGGUAGAUUUGGUCAGAUGUUGGAUCAGAUAUUUAUCUUAGUGAAAUUCCUCCAGAGGUUGAAUGGAAUUCUAAGCUAGCUGUGGCAUUUUUCAUAAUGGAUGAGUGCUUUUUAACUGUUGUUGACCACAGAAGUGGAGUCAAUCUGAUCCAUAAUAUUCUCUAUAAUUGUGGGUCAAAUUUUACUCGUCUAAAUUAUAGUGUUUUUUUAAACUGCAAUACUUGAGAGGGGUGACGAAAUCAUCUCUGCAGCAUCCAUCAGUUGUUGGAGACUGCCUCCAUCCUAGCAGAGCCUUCGAAUACAACCUACCACUGCCGAAGCCUUUCUCCCUCUCACUGAAAAAGGAUCACCUUACGAGCAUACAAACCUCUACGCCUAGCGCUGAAGGACGAUUCGAAAAAAGAUGAGACCUUUCGCAUCUCAAGAAAACUUCUCCAACCGUUACCUUAUCGGCCUUCCGGUAUACAAUGAAGCCUCGCCGCCCACCAUUGCCAUAUUUCGCCAGAGCCAGAAAACAGU